UACGUAGGGUGCGAGCGUUGUCCGGAAUCAUUGGGCGUAAAGCGCACGUAGGCGGUCUGUUAUGUCGGAUGUGAAAGCCCUUGGCUCAACUGAGGAAGUGCAUCCGAAACUGGCAGGCUAGAGUACUAAAGAGGGUCGCGGAAUUCCGGUGUAGAGGUGAAAUUCGUAGAUAUCGGGAGGAACACCGGUGGCGAAGGCGGCGACCUGGGUAGAUACUGACGCUGAGGUGCGAAAGCGUGGGGAGCAAACA
rnacentral:rRNA from 1 species